rnacentral:rRNA from 1 species
GCAUAUCAAUAAGCGGAGGAAAAGAAAAUAACAAUGAUUCCCUUAGUAACGGCGAGUGAAGGGGGAAAAGCUCAAAUUUUAAAUCUGCUAGGUUUUACUUAUCAGAAUUGUAAUUUGAAGAAGCGUUUUCCGCGUCUCGGUUGGCCCAAAUCCUUUGGGAUAAGGUAUCAUGGAGGGUGAGAAUCCCGUUCGGUUGACCUUAUGACGCUCUACGAUACGCUCUCUAAGAGUCGAGUUGUUUGGGAUUGCAGCUCAAAAUGGGAGGUAAAUUUCUCCUAAGGCUAAAUAUCGGCGAGAGACCGAUAGCGAACAAGUACCGUGAGGGAAAGAUGAAAAGAACUUUGAAAAGAGAGUAAAAUAGUACGUGAAAUUGUUGAAAGGGAAACGAUUGAAGUCAGUCGUACCGACGAGAAAUCAACUUAUCGUGUGCGAACU